GUGGGUGUAGCUCAGUGGUAGAGUGCUUGCUUAGCAUGCAUGAGGUCCUGGGUUCAGUUCCCCAGUACCGUCU
rnacentral:tRNA from 1 species